rnacentral:misc_RNA from 1 species
GCAAACUUGGUCAUUUAGAGGAAGUAAAAGUCGUAACAAGGUCUCCGUUGGUGAACCAGCGGAGGGAUCAUUACGAAAAGAGUGAAAACUCACUAAACCCUCUGUGAAUUUAUACCUUUUUGUUCCUUCGGCAGGCGGUUCCAGGGCGGGACCCCUGGGCCUUUUUUAGGUGUCUGCCGACGGUAUUUCAAACUAUGGUUUUAUAUUGCAACUCUGAGCCGUGACGGAAUAAAUUAAAACUUUCAGCAACGGAUCUCUUGGUUCUGGCAUCGAUGAAGAACGCAGC